CCUACGGGGGGCUGCAGUAAGGAAUAUUGGUCAAUGGACGAAAGUCUGAACCAGCCAUGCCGCGUGGAGGAUGAAGGUCCUCUGGAUUGUAAACUUCUUUUAUAUGGGACGAAAAAAGGCCUUUCUAGGUCGUCUGACGGUACCAUAUGAAUAAGCACCGGCUAACUCCGUGCCAGCAGCCGCGGUAAUACGGAGGGUGCAAGCUUUAUCCGGAUUAACGGGGUUGUAAGGGGGUUGAGGAGUCUUGGGAGAAAUCCCCGAGCUUAACUUGGGAACUGCCAUUGAUACUAUCAGUCUUGAAUACCGUGGAGGUCAGCGGAAUAUGUCAUGUAGCGGUGAAAUGCUUAGAUAUGACAUAGAACACCAAUUGCGAAGGCAGCUGGCUACCCGAAUAUUGACACUGAGGCACGAAAGCGUGGGGAUCAAACAGGAUUAGAUACCCUUGUAGUC
rnacentral:rRNA from 1 species